rnacentral:rRNA from 1 species
AGCGAACGCUGGCGGCAGGCUUAACACAUGCAAGUCGAGCGGGCACUCCGGUGUCGCCGGCUGACGGGGGAGGCGCAUGGGGGAACGUACCCGUCGGUUCGGAAUAACGCUGGGUCGCUAGCGCUAAUGUCGGAUACGCCCUUUUGGGGAAAGGUACACUGCCGAAGGAACGGCCCGCGUCUGAUUAGCUAGUUGGUGUUGAAAUGGCCUACCAAGGCGACGCUCAGUAGCUGGUCUGAGAGGCUGAUCAGCCACACUGGGACUGAGGCACGGCCCGGACUCUUACGGGAAGGAGCAGUGGGUAAUAUUGGACAAUGGGGGCAAGCAUGAUCCAGCCAGGCCGCGUGAGUGAUGAUGGCGUUAGGGAUGUGCAGCUCUUUAGUCCGGGACGAUAAUGACGGUACCGGAAGAAUAAGCCCCGGCUAACUUCGUG